ACUCCUACGGGAGGCAGCAGUGGGGAAUAUUGCACAAUGGGGGAAACCCUGAUGCAGCCAUGCCGCGUGUGUGAAGAAGGCCUUCGGGUUGUAAAGCACUUUCAGUAGGGAGGAAGGUAGUGUAGUUAACACCUGCAUUAUUUGACGUUACCUACAGAAGAAGCACCGGCUAACUCCGUGCCAGCAGCCGCGGUAAUACGGAGGGUGCGAGCGUUAAUCGGAAUUACUGGGCGUAAAGCGCAUGCAGGCGGCCUGUUAAGUCAGAUGUGAAAGCCCGGGGCUUAAACCUCGGAAUUGCAUUUGAAACUGGCAGGCUAGAGUCUUGUAGAGGGGGGUAGAAUUUCAGGUGUAGCGGUGAAAUGCGUAGAGAUCUGAAGGAAUACCAGUGGCGAAGGCGGCCCCCUGGACAAAGACUGACGCUCAGAUGCGAAAGCGUGGGGAGCAAACAGGAUUAGAUACCCUGGUAGCACAGAG
rnacentral:rRNA from 1 species